rnacentral:rRNA from 1 species
AUACGUAGGGGGCAAGCGUUGUCCGGAAUUAUUGGGCGUAAAGGGUGCGUAGGCGGCCUUUUAAGUCAGAUGUGAAAGCCCACGGCUUAACCGUGGGAUUGCAUUUGAAACUGGAGGGCUUGAGUAUCGGAGAGGGUAGUGGAAUUCCCAGUGUAGCGGUGAUAUGCGUAGAUAUUGGGAGGAACACCAGUGGCGAAGGCGACUACCUGGACGAAAACUGACGCUGAUGCACGAAAGCUAGGGGAGCAAACAGGAUUAGAUACCCUGGUAGUCCUAGCCGUAAACGAUGGGUACUAGGUGUAGGAGGUUUCGAUACCUUCUGUGCCGGAGUUAACGCAUUAAGUACCCCGCCUGGGGAGUACGUGCGCAAGCAUGAA